rnacentral:rRNA from 1 species
UACGUAGGGCGCAAGCGUUUGUCCGGAAUUAUUGGGCGUAAAGAGCUCGUAGGCGGCCUGUUACGUCUGCUGUGAAAUCCCGGGGCUUAACCCCGGGCGUGCAGUGGAUACGGGCAGGCUGGAGGCAGGCAGGGGAGAACGGAAUUCCCGGUGUAGCGGUGAAAUGCGCAGAUAUCAGGAGGAACACCAAUGGCGAAGGCAGAUCUCUGGGCCGUAACUGACGCUGAGGAGCGAAAGCAUGGGGAGCGAACAGG